rnacentral:rRNA from 1 species
CCUACGGGCGGCAGCAGUGAGGAAUAUUGGUCAAUGGGCGCAAGUCUGAACCAGCCAUGCAGCGUGCAGGAAGACGGCCCUAUGAGUUGUAAACUUCUUUUGUACAAGAGUAAACUUGGACACGUGUACCUUGUUGAAUGUACUGUAUGAAUAAGGAUCGGCUAACUCCGUGCCAGCAGCCGCGGUAAUACGGAGGAUCCGAGCGUUAUCCGGAUUUAUUGGGUUUAAAGGGUGCGUAGGUGGGUUGUUAAGUUAGUUGUGAAAUGUCCGGGCUUAACCCGGGAAUUGCAUCUAAUACUGGUAGUCUAGAGAGCAGUUGAGGUAGGCGGAAUGUGUGGUGUAGCGGUGAAAUGCUUAGAGAUCACACAGAACUCCGAUUGCGAAGGCAGCUUACCAAUCUGUAACUGACGUUGAGGCUCGAAAGUGUGGGUAGCAAACAGGAUUAGAUACCCUGGUAGUC